UUGAAUUUUAAUGAAGAGUUUGGUUGUAGCUGGCCCAUUCAUUUGGGCAUGUGCACACCUUCCUCUUUCAUCCCACACACACCUGUGAACCUGUGAGACAGAGAUGGGGAAUUUACUUGCUGCUUUUUGGAAUACAAAGGCAAUAGGUUAUUGGACCCCCCCUCUGUCUACUCAAUUAAUAUAAGCUCAAUUUAUUUUAAAACGAAUGUAAUGGAUGUAACACAUCUCAUAC
rnacentral:misc_RNA from 1 species